AGUGAACGCUGGCGGUAGGCCUAACACAUGCAAGUCGAACGGCAGCACAGAGGAGCUUGCUCCUUGGGUGGCGAGUGGCGGACGGGUGAGGAAUGCAUCGGAAUCUACUCUGUCGUGGGGGAUAACGUAGGGAAACUUACGCUAAUACCGCAUACGACCUACGGGUGAAAGCAGGGGAUCUUCGGACCUUGCGCGAUUGAAUGAGCCGAUGUCGGAUUAGCUAGUUGGCGGGGUAAAGGCCCACCAAGGCGACGAUCCGUAGCUGGUCUGAGAGGAUGAUCAGCCACACUGGAACUGAGACACGGUCCAGACUCCUACGGGAGACAGCAGUGGGGAAUAUUGGACAAUGGGCGCAAGCCUGAUCCAGCCAUACCGCGUGGGUGAAGAAGGCCUUCGGGUUGUAAAGCCCUUUUGUUGGGAAAGAAAUCCAUCUGGUUAAUACCCGGGUGGGAUGACGGUACCCAAAGAAUAAGCACCGGCUAACUUCGUGCCAGCCGCCGCAGUAA
rnacentral:rRNA from 1 species